rnacentral:hammerhead_ribozyme from 1 species
AUCCAGCUGAUGACCAGUCCCAAAUAGGACAAAACGCACGUCCUGGAU